rnacentral:rRNA from 1 species
GUCUAUGGCCAUGCCACCCUGAACAAGCCUGAUGUCUCAUCUCAGAAGCUAAGCAGGGUCAGGCCUGGUUACUACUUGGAUGGGAGACCACCUAGGAAGACCAGGUUCUGUAGGCA